UCAUACCUGACUCCUUCCUCCACACCAUUGCUCUUCUCCACUGCCUGGCAGCCUGGUUAAAGAAUUAAACAAUGUAAUGCUUGAGAAGCACUUGGCACCUGAUCCAUGAGAAGUGACCCUCUAGGAGAAAAAUCAGACUCAGUGGACCAGAGCAGAGAUCUGCAGUUGCCUUAAAGCAAAGCUUCUCAACCUUGAUCAGACAUUGAAAUCACUGGGGAGCUUGUAAAACUCCACACACCCAGGCUGCCUCUCAGCCCAAUAAAAUUAGAAUUUCUGGAGGUGAAGCUCAGAUAUUAGCAGCUUUUUCAUUUCUCCCCGCUGAUUCUAACAUGAAACCAAGGUUGAGAAAACCGCAGGACAGCAGCUCCAUUGCAAACCUGCCAGAGGAGGCUGACCAGAGAAUCUAAAAAGAAUGAGGCUGUCUGAAGGCACUGAAAAGGAGCAUUACAGAGCCAGCCCUGGCAGGGACAAUCCACCCGUGUCUGGAGCAGACGAUCCGGCCCACAGCCAGGACUUGUCCAGCCCUGGAGGCGCAACAGCCACGUGGAUGGAGACUCCAAGCCCUCUCAAAUCUCUCUCAUGACCAACUGCUGCUUCUGAAUCGCAGCUCAGUGGGCCAGCUUCCCACCACACCUCAGUCAUGGAAAGAAAACGGGCAACUGUCACCCUUCAGAGACAUCUACGUUGUUACUAAAAGCCUUGGACUGAAGCUGGGUUUGGCCUCCCUGCUACUAUGUGCAGACAAGAUCCACUCUAGUGAUCAUAGCUGAGCAGAAAGGCAGCUCCUCUCUCAAUAGGACCCAGAGCCACAGCCACAAGAGAGGAUUUGGCUGUAGCAAAGAAGCUUGUCUGAGUGAAUGAGUCAACCUUGCUCUGGGAAGAAGUUGCCAGAUACACUGAAACCAGCUGCUCUUAGUUAACAACAGACCAGACUGUACUUUCUGGAACCUUGCCUUCAUGUUCUUCCCAAACCAAGAUCUCCAAGCCUCUGAAUUUCUGUUUGUGCAGAGACUGCCUGGGGAGUGCCCAGCUAAUGUGCCUGGGAGGGACCUGUAUAAUUUUCCAUCUUCACUGUUUCCUAGACUCAGCAGUUUUUUCCCCAGAGAGCAUUAAGAAGACUUGAGUUACUAAACUAAAUCUUGUCAUAUUAUUUAGCUAAUCUAAAUCUUGUCAUAUUAUUUGUAUGACUUUGAAGCUCCUUAACAAAUUAACAUUUGUGUUCCAAAAAAAUAAAAAGUCUUGAGCCAUCUCUGCCAAGGACAAAAUAAUAAGGAACUCACUGACAUCUGUAUAAAUGGAUUCUGUUUUCAUCAAAGGAUCCCCCACUGGACAUAAUUAAGUAAAUGGCUUCCCUGCCCUGCUAGAGAGGGUGUGGAGAUCCCUGAGGACAACCGGGAUUUAACUUUGAAUUCCUCAGAGAGCCAGGCAUGGUGCUUUGCUCAAGAAAUGUUUGUUGAAUUAAACUGGAGAACUUCUUGAAAGAUGCCAGAAGCUGGAGGGAGAUGAUGGAAUCCUCUCUCUGGAGAUAGUUCUUUAAAUGAGAGAAUUCUCACCGAAACCUCCAGCCACUCAAAUGCUUCUUUCGCUGU